GGACCAAUGUCAUAUAUCACUAUUUCUCAAAGACUAUCUGGUCCCUUGAUGGCAAAUGAACAAUAUCGAAACCUUUGAAAGAGAAAUUGUGUUUUGUGAGUUACAUGACUACCUAAUUUUGCUUCCAAGGUCUCCUCUGUAAUCAAGAGAAGAAUGCAGGAACUAUAUGUCCAAGAAUCUCUUUCCAUACUCUAAAUAGCUUAUAAAUGUUUGGACAGUGGUGAGGCAAGGUGACGAAGGAAUAAUACAGCAUGACCACCUCUGUCUAGUAGCUGUUAUCCAACAUCUGAGUACUUUUUCGAGAGGCCUAAGCCUUCAGAAGAACAAGUUUCCACACAAGGGUCAACAAGGAAACCAUAAUAAAUAAGUCAAGACAAGAGUGCACAGUGAAGGCAGAAGAUGAGGGGAUCUCAGGUUGCAUCUCCCGAGGCACCAGGAUUCAAAGGUGGACAAAG